rnacentral:lncRNA from 1 species
CUUCAUUCUAAUUGAUUUUUGUUGAAUUACUAUUGUUUCGGUUUUAUCGGUAUUGUUAUGAUCGUUUCAAUUCUUUAUUGUUGAAAGUUAAGUUUUAGUUAGUGUAUUUUGUGACGGGAGAUUUUAAUCCAAAUCUCCAACUUGAAAGGGGGCAAACUAGUUGAGUGUUUGUAUAACUCCAAGUAAACGUUGCAUAUUGAUGUUUAUCGACGUUGACGGUCUUCUCUCCUCCGUUGGUGCUUGUCUCAUAUUCCAUCUCCUUGUAGAGCUGCAUUGCUGCCUUUACUUCUUUGGACGGCCAUGAGACACACAUUUUUUCCCAUAUGUUUUUUUUAAUCUAAAUGUCUUCUUAUGAACAUAGAUAUUGCCAAUGAUGAUAUAUUAUACACCAAUUACCAUCUUUCGGGACUGAAUGGCUUUUAUGCCUUGUGGAUAAUAUUCUGCAAUUCUGAGGCUUAUGCGUUUUGUUUAUAAUAUGUUUUUAUUCUGUUCUGCGAAAAAAAAUUCCCUCAAGAUAUUUACCCCAUAUAAAAGCAAAAAAAACAUAUUUAACUCAAGUUCUCUGUCAUGUGCAACAAUAUUUAACCUAUGUUCUUUUAUAAUAAAAUUAAGCAUUCUGUAUUUAUAAUAGGUGAAAAGACUAAUCUUUAAUAUCAUAUAUGUUAUUCAUGUGACCCACAAGUUCAUAUCUGUAAUCUUUCAAAGACAGUCUCUUGUAGAGAUUACCUUUGAACUCAAUUCCUUGUUAUGUUCCCUGGGAAAUAAUGAUUAAGUUGACGAGACUUCCUUUGGAGACCCCUUGUAGAGACUACUCUUAUGUUGUAUCCAAAUUUGACCAUUUUCACGAUUGUUCCAAUGUUUGAUAUAUUUAGUUGUUACUCUACCAUUUGUAUGUGGUGCUGUUUAUUCCUUGCUGUGGCUGCCGGAUGAUCUUACUAUGUUUGUUGGUUUGUUUUUUCAUAACUAAAAAUUAAGGAUCUCUGUGUUGGUUUGUUUUUUCCCCAGUUUGUAUUGGUCUCAGUUUGUGUUUCUCUACAGUAAUUGGUGCUAUUGAGAUUCUGUUUAUUUUGCUGCAUCUUUUUACAAAGUUGUAGUUUAUUGUUUGCAGAAUUAACGAAUUAGUUUGGUGAGCAUCAUGCUAUCUGUACCCCACUAAGAGAUGCAAUGCAGGAUAGGAAUCCAUUGCAAUCCAAGUUCCACCAUGCUUGUAGUGAUGCAUUGUGUUCAUGUCUAUAUUAACUUCCUUUCUAUUUGUUUUGGUAGCAUAUAUUUUUGUUCUUUUUAUAAUCUAGAAAUUUGGUCCGCCGAUUCUCUGGUUUUGUUUUGGCAUAUGAUAGUCAAUGGAAGUAUUUGUUGCUUUUGAUCAAUUUCAGGUGGACGUUUAGUUGUUAUUGUGUUUGAUUGCUAUGAAAUUUAAGUUUAGUUGUUAUUGUGUUUAAUUGCUAUGAAAUUUAAUUUUCAAUAGUUAUAUAUUUAUUUUGUAAAAUAUUUUUAAAAAAAAAAAAUGCUGAUAAAGAGCUCUACAAUAGACAUUGAUUGUAGACAAGUGCUAAUGUGUGCAUGUAUUCUAAGUCUUUUGAUCUCAAAUUGAAAGUAUGUUAUAUUGUACUUGAUAGGCCUCCUUCCCACAUACUAUUCUGUUACUCUCUGUUGUCUAUUUAUCAUCUCAUACCUCUCACAUUAGCACAAAAAUGGGUGCAUCGUAACAUUGUUGGUGUACAAUAUCCAAGACAUUUCAAACGCUUCUAUCUAAAUUAAAAAUGACGACUAAUUUCAAGACAUGUUACUUGGCAGGACAGGAGCUGUGGAGCAUUAGACGAUAACCAUUACAUAUCUAAUAGUGUCAGAAGUCAUGAAAAAUAUUAAGGUUAUGACAAAAGGAGAAAUUGAAGUAAGAGGAUUUAUCUUUGAAAUUUCAUUUUUUCUGCUUCUUGCAACUCUAUGGCUUUUGAUUCCAACAAUUCAACCAUGUGGCAGUAUAUAUUUUGAGAUAUUUUUCUUCAUAAGCUGGAAAGACAAUCUAAUUCAUAUUCUGAAUGAAUAUCCUUAAUUCAAUCCAAUCCGAGUAUGAAGCUGCAUAUAUACAUGCAACGAUGCAGUGUUUUAGGCCUUUCGUCAAUGAUUAUAUAAUAUUAAGUCUAUUCCAAAAUCUUAAAAGUUAAAUCUCAUUGUCCUGAUGCAAUAAUUCUAGCAAUGAAGUUGAGUUAGCAAUAGGAAAGAUGAUGAUUGUAAAAAUGGAUCAAAAGGUUUCUCAAUGACAUCAUAUUAUCUUUGUUUGUG